rnacentral:rRNA from 3 species
UUGACCUCGAAUCAGGUAGGACUACCCGCUGAACUUA